UAGGGAAUCUUCGGCAAUGGGGGGAACCCUGACCGAGCAACGCCGCGUGAGUGAAGAAGGUUUUCGGAUCGUAAAGCUCUGUUGUUAAGGAAGAACGAGUGUGAGAAUGGAAAGUUCAUACUGUGACGGUACUUAACCAGAAAGGGACGGCUAACUACGUGCCAGCAGCCGCGGUAAUACGUAGGUCCCGAGCGUUGUCCGGAUUUAUUGGGCGUAAAGCGAGCGCAGGCGGUUUGAUAAGUCUGAAGUUAAAGGCUGUGGCUCAACCAUAGUUCGCUUUGGAAACUGUCAAACUUGAGUGCAGAAGGGGAGAGUGGAAUUCCAUGUGUAGCGGUGAAAUGCGUAGAUAUAUGGAGGAACACCGGUGGCGAAAGCGGCUCUCUGGUCUGUAACUGACGCUGAGGCUCGAAAGCGUGGGGAGCGAACAGGAUUAGAUACCCUGGUAGUCCACGCCGUAAACGAUGAGUGCUAGGUGUUGGGUCCUUUCCGGGAUUCAGUGCCGCAGCUAACGCAUUAAGCACUCCGCCUGGGGAGUACGACCGCAAGGUUG
rnacentral:rRNA from 1 species